GAUGAACGCUGGCGGCGUGCCUAAUACAUGCAAGUCGAGCGAAGCGGGGACGGGUGAGUAACACGUGGAUAACCUCCUAUAAGACUGGGAUAACCUCCGGAAACCGGAGCUAAACCGGCGUCUUAUAGAUGGAUCCGCGUGGCAUUAGCUAGUUGGUAAGGUAACGGCUUACCAAGGCAACGAUGCAUAGCCGAGCUGAGAGGAUGAUCGGCCACACUGGAACUGAGACACGGUCCAGACUCCUACGGGAGGCAGCAGUAGGGAAUCUUCCGCAAUGGGCGAAAGCCUGACGGAGCAACGCCGCGUGAAUGAUGAAGGUCUUCGGAUCGUAAAACUCUGUUAUUAGGGAAGCGGUACCUAAUCAGAAAGCCACGGCUAACUACGUGCCAGCAGCCGCGGUAAUUC
rnacentral:rRNA from 1 species